CCUUAGAGUUUGAUCCUGGCUCAGAGCGAACGCUGGCGGCAGGCCUAACACAUGCAAGUCGAACGGACCCUUCGGGGUUAGUGGCGGACGGGUGAGUAACACGUGGGAACGUGCCUUUAGGUUCGGAAUAGCUCCUGGAAACGGGUGGUAAUGCCGAAUGUGCCCUUCGGGGGAAAGAUUUAUCGCCUUUAGAGCGGCCCGCGUCUGAUUAGCUAGUUGGUGGGGUAAUGGCCCACCAAGGCUACGAUCAGUAGCUGGUCUGAGAGGAUGACCAGCCACAUUGGGACUGAGACACGGCCCAAACUCCUACGGGAGGCAGCAGUGGGGAAUCUUGCGCAAUGGGCGAAAGCCUGACGCAGCCAUGCCGCGUGUAUGAUGAAGGUCUUAGGAUUGUAAAAUACUUUCACCGGUGAAGAUAAUGACUGUAGCCGGAGAAGAAGCCCCGGCUAACUUCGUGCCAGCAGCCGCGGUAAUACGAAGGGGGCUAGCGUUGCUCGGAAUUACUGGGCGUAAAGGGAGCGUAGGCGGACAUUUAAGUCAGAGGUGAAAUCCCGGAGCUUAACUUCGGAACUGCCUUUGAUACUGGGUGUCUUGAGUGUGAGAGAGGUAUGUGGAACUCCGAGUGUAGAGGUGAAAUUCGUAGAUAUUCGGAAGAACACCAGUGGCGAAGGCGACAUACUGGCUCAUUACUGACGCUGAGGCUCGAAAGCGUGGGGAGCAAACAGGAUUAGAUACUCUGGUAGUCCACGCCGUAAACGAUGAUUGCUAGUUGUCGGGAAGCUUGCUUCUCGGUGACGCAGCUAACGCAUUAAGCAAUCCGCCUUGGGGAGUACGGUCGCAAGAUUAAAACUCAAAGGGAAUUG
rnacentral:rRNA from 1 species